UACGUAGGGGGCAAGCGUUGUUCGGAAUUACUGGGCGUAAAGCGCGCGUAGGCGGAUUGGCAAGUCAGAUGUGAAAGCCCCGGGCUCAACUUGGGAACUGCAUUUGAUACUGCCAGACUAGAGUACAGAAGAGGUGACUGGAAUUCCCAGUGCAGCGGUGAAAUGCGUAGAUAUUGGGAGGAACACCAGAUGCGAAGGCGGGUCACUGGGCUGAUACUGACGCUGAGGCGCGAAAGCCAGGGGAGCGAACGGG
rnacentral:rRNA from 1 species